rnacentral:sRNA from 1 species
GUUGACACGAAAAUAAUAUACUUUUCAGUAACAAUAGGCUCCAGGACCAUAAUGACCGAACCUUGUGCAGUGAGAAUUUGGUUGAUGAGGCUUCAAAGAGAAAGAGUGGAGACAAUUUGUCUGCAGUUGUGAUUUGCUUCCAGCAGCAAUCUCCUCGCAACAUGGUGGCCCCUCGGUCUAGAGUGCACUGGAGCUUCUCUACUUAAGGUUUGAAGGAGUUGCAGAGUUUCCUUGAUAACUUGGGAUCUUGUGGAACUGUGUAUCAUGCUUUGUGGUAUGGAUCGGUUGUUGAGUAUCGUGGUGUGAAUGUAAGGCGUAGUGUUACUGAUCUGAUAUGAAGGAAGCAAAAUAUCGUUCGAAAGGCAAAGAUUGCUAUUUAGGUACUUCUUGGUCUUGAUGUACUUACAGGUUCAUCAGUGGCUGUUUUGGUCUUGGAGUUGUUGGGUUAGCUGUAGCAACUUUAUAGAUUAUUUGAAAGGUUGAUCUUUGGAGGUUACAUAGAUUAUUUAACUACGAGGCAAUUUAAAGGAAGUUUUUGGAAAAGUGGGUGAUAAGAGACUGGUUCCAGGUUAUUGACAUGGCUGCAUUUGAGCUUGAUCUACUAGAAGAAUAUGAUUCACGCUUUAAGAAGUUGAGUCUAGGUGAUAAAUUGCAUAUCAAAUUCUCCUAGUGAUUAAUUGUUAGAAAGACUAAGUUAUUGAAUUAUAGACAAUGUAAUUGUGAAUUUU